UUGCAAGUCAAGAUCCAGUGCCGAUAUAUAUAUAUAUAUAUAUAUAUAUAUAUCGGCACUGGAUCUUGACUUGCAA
rnacentral:pre_miRNA from 1 species